GCAGUCUUUUGUUGAGUUUUCAGCUGGCCCUUUCACUCUGACUUUGCUGUCGUAACCACAGUCCCACCAGAGUGAGCCUUGUUCCUGACAGUCAUGCAACAGGCAACCUUAGAGGGUCAAGGAGGUUCUUAACCAUAAACAUUGAAGGUGGCGGAAGGGGAAGAGAGAAGGGAGAAAGAUGUGACCAGGACAGUAAGUUACCAGGCAAAGCUGAGCAGUUGUGACAGCCCACAGCGUUGGAAAAAUCUGCAGAAUUUAUCAUCUGACCCUUUCCAGAAAACGUGCGCCGAACCCUAACCCAAGGGCAUCAGCCAGGAGCAUGGAUGGCCCACCACAUCACCUCUUAGAAGAGAAGACAGGACAAUUCAAAGAUUCGGGCCUGACGGAAGGAAGAGGCAGGGAAAGCAGAAUCAACCUGGAGAGCCCACUGCUUGCUUCCAGGUCCCUGGAAGUGAAGCCGCAGACAGGAGCCUCAGGAAGGAGGAAACCCUCGCCCUUAUUCGUAAACACACGACAGCGGCUCAGAGAACUCCGCGGCUAACGGCAACUUGUGUGUUGCAGCCAAGAAUCUGGGGCCAGGAGGCGGCAAGAAGGAAGCCGUGAUACACUCUCCCUCCCUCUGUGGCGGGGCAGCCAGGUUUGGAUUUGGGGUUGGGGAGGAGGGAGAACAGAAGGCUAAGCCCCAAACAGGUGCUUUUCAUUUGGGGACAUGUGUCCUGGAUUUUCUGGGACAGUACCAAUUUCUUCUAAUUUGAUUAUUUUCAAUGAGGGCAAUUUGUUCGACAUCUGAUCUUGAGUUUGGAAAACGACGGCCACUACGCUUAUAACUUAACGAGGGCACCAGCUCAGCCUCUGGUGUGAAACCCUGCUCUCAACACAGAGCACUCUAUCCAGCACAUCACAGGUUUAGAGCCAGAUUUGCGGUCUGCGUGUGUGUGCGGCUCUCGGAACUGGCUGUUUUAAGCUCACCCUGAGUUCUGUUUUAUGGUGCCCCCCCGCCUUGUUUUUCUUCCUCACCUCGUUCUGCUG